ensembl:lncRNA
CUGGUUGGUAGACCCUGGUUGACCCUGGUUGGUAGACUCUGGGAGACCCUGGUUGGUAGACUCUGGGAGACCCUGGUUGGUAGACUGGGAUACCCUGGUUGGUAGACCCUGGGAGACCCUGGUUGGUAGACCCUGGGAGACCCUGGUUGGUAGACUGGGAGACCCUGGUUGGUUGACUCUGGGAGACCCUGGUUGGUAGACCCUGGUUGGUAGACUGGGAGACCCUGGUUGGUAGACUGGGAGACCCUGGUUGGUAGACCCUGGUUAGUUGACUGGGAGACCCUGGUUGGUAGACUGGGAGACCCUGGUUGGUAGACUCUGGGAGACCCUGGUUGGUAGACUGGGAGACCCUGGUUGGUAGACUCUGGGAGACCCUGACUGGGAGACCCUGGUUGGUAGACUCUGGGAGACCCUGGUUGGUAGACUCUGGGAGACCCUGGUUGGUAGACUCUGGGAGACCCUGGUUGGUAGACUCUGGGAGACCCUGGUUGGUAGACUCUGGGAGACCCUGGUUGGUAGACCCUGGG